rnacentral:rRNA from 1 species
GUGGGGAAUAUUGGACAAUGGGCGAAAGCCUGAUCCAGCCAUGCCGCGUGUGUGAAGAAGGUCUUCGGAUUGUAAAGCACUUUAAGUUGGGAGGAAGGGCAGUAAGUUAAUACCUUGCUGUUUUGACGUUACCAACAGAAUAAGCACCGGCUAACUUCGUGCCAGCAGCCGCGGUAAUACAGAGGGUGCAAGCGUUAAUCGGAUUUACUGGGCGUAAAGCGCGCGUAGGUGGUUUUGUAAGUUGGAGGUGAAAUCCCCGGGCUCAACAUGUGAACUGCCUCCAAAACUGCAUGACUAGAGUACGGUAGAGGGUAGUGGAAUUUCCUGUGUAGCGGUGAAAUGCGUAGAUAUAGGAAGGAACACCAGUGGCGAAGGCGACUACCUGGACUGAUACUGACACUGAGGUGCGAAAGCGUGGGGAGCAAACAGGAUUAGAAACCCUUGUAGUCC